UCGAUGUUUUGACACCUCUACCGUUCAAUGCCUCCACCUCGAAUGAUAGCUGAAUUUGUUGAUGAAUCAGAACAACAGUCAUGUAGAAUAUUUUGUAAACUAAGCUUAAACCCAUUUUCCACUGCGCGGUACUUUUGUUAUUUUACGGGUUUUUCGAUAGGCAACGCGGUGGUGCUUCCAAUGGCAAACGCUUUUGGGAGAGCUGUUCUGUGGUCAUGCGAGCUAAAGUUAACAAUCGAUACAAAUAAUAUAGCAAUAAUAUUUAAUUACCAUUUGUGUAUGGAUAGAAACAAAAUGGAAGCUUUUGGAGACAAGGAAUCAUUCCGCGUUGACAGAAAUUUAUUUCUGCAGUUGGUGGGGAUGGCACCAGGCCUAUUAAAAUUACGCAGUGUUUCAACCAGCCAUGGCAUUGGAUAAACCUAUUGCUGUUGCCCUCUAUUCGCUUUCUCAUCCUCGGAAUACAAAAUUAUUGGCAGAAUUUUUGGCUGAUCAAAAACAAUGGUAUGCAAAAUUGUAAUCAAAUUCUGUAUCGACUUUAUAUUUAUUAUAGCUCCCGAGUACUUGUCUCCAAGCCAGAGACAAUUGCACAGGUUUGCUCUGGGAAACCUAAGUACAUCGAUUGCUUUACAGGAAUAAGCCUAGUACUCACAUCGACGAAAACUGCGAGCUAACCGUAGGAGUGAGCGAGAGUCUGUUUUUUAAGCGCGGUACUCAGGUGAGCUAGGGAAAUACCAGAAAAAAUACCAGAUUUGGCGAAUGAAUUUCGAUGAACGCCGUUAGCCGCGGCCCAAAGAAUAAGAAUUUCAAUUAUUGGCUGUGUGCGUGCAAAGGUUGGUGGAAACUAAAAAUUAAAAAUGGUAGGAAAACCCCAAAAUCGACUGCAGGAUGUCAGUGCAAAUGAAAUAGGACGCCUAAUCCAAGCUUUUGCUUGUAUUGCGGGAUUUUACCGACAGCAAGCAAUACCACAACAGGGCAAAUCCUUAAAAUAGUUGAAGUGCUGGAGGAGAUCCACUAGAGAAUCCCAGUGGGAAGCUACAAAGAAUAACUCCACCGCUAGUAAUACGAUCUCCGACGACCUCGCCAUUAGGACUACGGACACCACUACCACCAGCUUCUUGGGAGCUUAAGCGGAUAUGGAGGAAGCGCUGGCUUCUAUAGGGAGGAGGAAAAUAGGGAGCCCGCUAAGGAACAGUUGAAGAAGCCAUAGGCAGCCAUUGUCAGGAUGCUGAGCGACUGCCUGGAGCAUCAGAUGGCGAAGCAUCCGUGGACGAGAAGGAAGCUUUAAACUACUAAUUUACAUAAAUAAAGGCUUACGUUGAACAUUUCA